GUUGCAGCUAGAGAAAACCUGGAAGAAUUCUGUAAUAGCUCUGCUAGUUUCUCCUCAUUGCACAACAGUAUGACUGCUACAGAGACAGCAAACAGAGGAAGGGGAGAAUGGGUUACAAUCAGGGGCAGCUGGUCUGACUCAACUGUGUUGAUGAUCAGGUACUUGGCUAGGAUCAAGACUGGAUACUUUCGGCUUGGAUGAAAAACAGAAGAAGCUGUGACUACUCAGAGCCAGGGGGACAGCCAGACCAAAAAUUGUUGGGGAAAAAAGGAAGCUCAAAGGCCAAAAGAUAGAAGCCAAGUGUCAAAUCCAAGAACAAAAGGCAAGAAUCAAUGCAAGGAUCAAAAAGCCCCGUGACCUUGAUGUCAAAAUUCGAGCUGAUCAGAGCCAACCCAGCAGGAAAUGGGUUUCUAGAAGAACUGUCUCAGAUAUGUCUGGGCCUUCAUGAUCCCCUGUAAGGACCAGCAGGUAUAUGAUACCUGGGAAGAUGACAAUGGCUUCCAAGACUGAGGUUGGGCAGACCACCAAAGAUCCCAAAAUAAAAGCAAAGGUUUAAAUUUAAAUAACUAGCAUGGCAAGAAGCAAAGUACUCAUUGCAUUAUGAAAAUCUGAAAGUAGAAUUUCUCUUGGUGCAGCAAAGGAUCUCUAGUAAGAAAUAACAUGAGAAAACAUAGGUGUUAUGAUCGUUAUAAAGGUUGAUGAUUCUUAAGUACAUUCGAGGAUGCUAAAGUUCUAACAAUGUUCAGGUGCAGGGAUCAAGUGUCUUUUACAUAAUCCUUCCACCAGAAGACAUCAAGUUUAACUGAAAUUCAAAUCUGAACAAUAGGACAACCAUCUGGAAAAUAACGCUGCAAAACUACUACACAGCAAGUAAGUCAAUCUGCAAAGCUGCAAUGAAGUAAAACCGACUGAAGAGUAUGUUAUGUACUGUAGGCUAUACCAAUCUGUGCAUGUGAAUAACUGUCAAUAUCCCAACCUAAAAUAAUUUUAAUGAUGGGAAUAAACAUUAAAUAUUUACCAGCUGGUGCACCACUAGAUCAAUGGGCUCAUCUCCCUCCCCUGAGUACACACAAUAAUAAAUGAAUAGACUUGGGCUUCCAACAGCAAGAAAAAGAUUGCCUCAAAAUUGGAAAUCAAUGAUACCACUAUGGUUACAUCAAUAGGUGAAGCGAUAAAUGGAGGCUGCUGUCAUUUAAAAAAAUAUAUUGUAAUAACAGAGAAAAAAAAGCUAAAGGGAAGUUUUUCUUAUGUUUGCUUUAUUUACUUUCUAAUUUUCAAAAUGAAUUUUGACAGAAGUCCUUGGCCAUUUGUACUUUUUAAAAGAACAUGUUGUUCCAAACUAACAAUGUCUCCUAAUAUGAAAUCCAGUUUCUGUCAAUCUGUCCAUAAAAAUAUUUUAGGUUUAGAUUUUUCAGUUUAUGUCUGGUGCUAAGAAAAUGUAUGACAAUUAAACCGAUUGAGAGGGAACAGGAGAUGGGGUUACAGGACAUAGUGUCAUAGGAACAAGUAAAAUAAAAACACGUUUUAAAAUGUUAAAAUUUAAUCUCUAUUUUAUUCUAUUAAAUUUUGUGCCUUAUAAGAUAUGCUGAACCAAGUGUUCCCAAGUUAUGACUUACCAUGGAAAAUUCUGAUGUGAAUGUUUUCUCUUAGAAAUAAAGCUAUUGAGCUGUAAGAGUUGAUAUAA